rnacentral:rRNA from 1 species
AUUGAACGCUGGCGGCAGGCCUAACACAUGCAAGUCGAACGAGUGGCGGACGGGUGAGUAAUGUCUGGGAAACUGCCCGAUGGCGGGGGAUAACUACUGGAAACGGUAGCUAAUACCGCAUACCAUCAGAUCUGCCCAGAUGGGAUUAGCUAGUUGGUGGGGUAACGGCUCACCAAGGCGACGAUCCCUAGCUGGUGUGAGAGGAGGACCAGCCACACUGGAACUGAGAAACGGUCCAGACUCCUACGGGAGGCAGCAGUGGGGAAUAUUGCACAAUGGGCGAAAGCCUGAUGCAGCCAUGCCGCGUGGAUGAAGAAGGCCUUCGGGUUGUAAAGUACUUUCAGCGGGGAGGCGUUACCCGCAGAAGAAGCACCGGCUAACUCCGUGCCAGCAGCCGCGGUAAUUC